rnacentral:rRNA from 1 species
CCUACGGGAGGCAGCAGUGAGGAAUAUUGGUCAAUGGCCGGAAGGCUGAACCAGCCAAGCCGCGUGCAGGACGAAGGCGCCAUGCAUUGUAAACUUCUUUUGUCAAAGGACAAAAUCAAGUACGAGAGUCUGACCGAGGGUACUUGAAGAAAAAGCAUCGGCUAACUCCGUGCCAGCAGCCGCGGUAAUACGGAGGAUGCGAGCGUUAUCCGGAUUUAUUGGGGUUAAAGGGUGCGUAGGCGGACUGUUAAGUCAGCGGUAAAAUCCCGGGGCUAAACCCCGGCGCGCCGUUGAAACUGGCUGUCUUGAGAGGUCGAGAGGUAGGCGGAAUGCGCAGUGUAGCGGUGAAAUGCUUAGAUA